AGUAUAUUACCUUGAACAUGGUUUAUUAGGAAAGACAAGAGAACAUAUCUGAAUAUAGUUUUUCCUUAUAACCAAUGUUCAAAGUAAUGAAUU
rnacentral:miRNA from 1 species